UGAAGACGCGAACACAAGUCAGUUUAUUGACGUAGCUAGCUAAUGGCGGCGAAACUCAAAUACAUAAAUAAAUACACACAAAGUCAACAGCCAAAACAACUGGCAGGUGACUGUGCAGUCGAAAGGCCGUCCCAGUUUGUCAGUUAAACCGGAGCUUGUCCACAAUAACGAUACACUAACGGCCAGGCAGCAUGUAGGAGACUGGAGGACUGUUUGAGAGGAGAGGGAUAUUCAUACUUAUGCAGCCUAGGAAGACCUGUAACGUUAACUGCAUCAUUCCGCAGCCUUGCAAGUGAAGCAACAGCUGAAAAGCCCAUCUCACAGAGAUAUGAUGUGGCAAAGGGAAGAAGAAUGCACACAGCUCUCUACCCGAUGAGUGG